rnacentral:lncRNA from 1 species
AAAAAAAAUUAGAAGGGUGUAGGUUGACUUUAAUAAGAAAGAGAAAAAAUUAGAGAGGUGCAGAAUGACUUUAUGAAGAAAGAGAAAAUAUUAAAAUAAUAUUAAUUAAGGUUAAAAUGGUAAUUUUUGGAAGUGCAGGAUGAAAGCUUGGAGAUGUAAGAUGAAACACCCUCUACGAAAAUGGAACUCUGACGGAAGAAAAAAC